rnacentral:rRNA from 1 species
GACGAACGCUGGCGGCGUGCCUAAUACAUGCAAGUCGAACGAACUCUGGUAUUGAUUGGUGCUUGCAUCAUGAUUUACAUUUGAGUGAGUGGCGAACUGGUGAGUAACACGUGGGAAACCUGCCCAGAAGCGGGGGAUAACACCUGGAAACAGAUGCUAAUACCGCAUAACAACUUGGACCGCAUGGUCCGAGUUUGAAAGAUGGCUUCGGCUAUCACUUUUGGAUGGUCCCGCGGCGUAUUAGCUAGAUGGUGGGGUAACGGCUCACCAUGGCAAUGAUACGUAGCCGACCUGAGAGGGUAAUCGGCCACAUUGGGACUGAGACACGGCCCAAACUCCUACGGGAGGCAGCAGUAGGGAAUCUUCCACAAUGGACGAAAGUCUGAUGGAGCAACGCCGCGUGAGUGAAGAAGGGUUUCGGCUCGUAAAACUCUGUUGUUAAAGAAGAACAUAUCUGAGAGUAACUGUUCAGGUAUUGACGGUAUUUAACCAGAAAGCCACGGCUAACUACGUGCCAGCAGCCGCGGUAAUACGUAGGUGGCAAGCGUUGUCCGGAUUUAUUGGGCGUAAAGCGAGCGCAGGCGGUUUUUUAAGUCUGAUGUGAAAGCCUUCGGCUCAACCGAAGAAGUGCAUCGGAAACUGGGAAACUUGAGUGCAGAAGAGGACAGUGGAACUCCAUGUGUAGCGGUGAAAUGCGUAGAUAUAUGGAAGAACACCAGUGGCGAAGGCGGCUGUCUGGUCUGUAACUGACGCUGAGGCUCGAAAGUAUGGGUAGCAAACAGGAUUAGAUACCCUGGUAGUCCAUACCGUAAACGAUGAAUGCUAAGUGUUGGAGGGUUUCCGCCCUUCAGUGCUGCAGCUAACGCAUUAAGCAUUCCGCCUGGGGAGUACGGCCGCAAGGCUGAAACUCAAAGGAAUUGACGGGGGCCCGCACAAGCGGUGGAGCAUGUGGUUUAAUUCGAAGCUACGCGAAGAACCUUACCAGGUCUUGACAUACUAUGCAAAUCUAAGAGAUUAGACGUUCCCUUCGGGGACAUGGAUACAGGUGGUGCAUGGUUGUCGUCAGCUCGUGUCGUGAGAUGUUGGGUUAAGUCCCGCAACGAGCGCAACCCUUAUUAUCAGUUGCCAGCAUUAAGUUGGGCACUCUGGUGAGACUGCCGGUGACAAACCGGAGGAAGGUGGGGAUGACGUCAAAUCAUCAUGCCCCUUAUGACCUGGGCUACACACGUGCUACAAUGGAUGGUACAACGAGUUGCGAACUCGCGAGAGUAAGCUAACCUCUUAAAGCCAUUCUCAGUUCGGAUUGUAGGCUGCAACUCGCCUACAUGAAGUCGGAAUCGCUAGUAAUCGCGGAUCAGCAUGCCGCGGUGAAUACGUUCCCGGGCCUUGUACACACCGCCCGUCACACCAUGAGAGUUUGUAACACCCAAAGUCGGUGGGGUAACCUUUUAGGAACCAGCCGCCUAAGGUGGGACAGAUGAUUAGGGUG